rnacentral:lncRNA from 1 species
UGUUUUGUUUUUGUCUUUUUGGGUUUUUUUGCAUGUGUACAUAAAAGAACUUUCUACAACCACUGAAAUUCAUUAUCCAUAACUCUAUCAACAGAAAAAUAAGAACCAUGGCUGUAAUAGAUACUAUCAAAAUGUUCAUGUUUGUAUUUAUAAAAUCACAAUUCUUGACACGUAGUGAGUGCAGUAUGAGUUAACAUAUACAAUGUGAAAAGGAAUAAAGUUAAAAACUCAUGUAACACUAUCAAAUUCGAGAGGGAAUGCGUAAUCUCACCUGUGACUGAAUAAAAAAAUGAAAAAUAAUUAUGACUCCAGUAAGUAAAAAUAAAACUAGCAUGAUUUUUGUUAAACUAUGUUAUCCCUGGGACUUUAACCUGGAGAUAUUUUUGUAACACUCUGCUCAUUCCUCCUUAAUCCAGGAUACAUGAUAAGCAAGACAAAUCACAUUUACAGCGACAAUGCAGACAAAAUUGGAACCUACCUAUUUGUAAAAAAAUAUGAAGAUGAGAAUAUACAAAUACCAUAGCUAAUGUGACUAUUUAACGAAGUUUUCAAAUAGUAUUCUUUUUGAAGUAAAAGGGCAGUUAUUGAUAGUUAAAACAGAAGACGAAGGAAACCCAGAAUGGAUAUAAGCAUAUUGCAUGUACACACUCUAACCACAACAUGUAUCUAGCUUCACUUAGCAGGUUAAAAAAGUACACUAUUCUUAUUUUGAAUUUCAUUAUUUUAUUUUAUUUUUUUAUUUUAUUUUAUUUUAUUUUAUUUUAUUUUAUUUUAUUUUAUUUUAUUUUUUAGGUCUCCCAAUAAUAUGAGUUGAAAAAAUGUAGCCUCCCAUUCUUGCAAUGCCUAAAAUGCUAUUGUGUAGACAAAGACAGUAUCUAACAAUCUGAAGGAAUGAGUCAGAAUUCCUCUAAAGAAUGCAUUGCACCUGCUGACCUCUUUGAAAUAAGACUGCAAAUGAAUCCCUCUAUAAAUACGAUGUUGACUGUUCUUAGUAAAGGGAAUUAACCUUAACCAUUCUGUGAACCAUCGUGAGUCAGGAGAGCAGCAGUAGACUUAAGGUAAAAAGAUUGAUUUCAUUGUUGAAUUACAACACUCCAUUAAAGGAUAUCUUCGACUUUCAAAGGAUCUUUAUCUCAGACUAUUAAAGUGUGGGUUGUGCAUGGUAUACAUGCCACCUUCUCUUUCCUUUGGGGUCUUCACCAGGUCCUGACUCUGUUCAUUAUUAGUACUGUAACCUGGUGAUAACAUUGUUCUUGGAGUAUAAAUGUUGUUCUAUGAAAGAUGGAAUUUGAGUAGAAGGAGGCAUUCUCUGGAUAUUUGAGGCUAGUGGCCUGCCAGGAGAGAAUUGCCUGCUUUCUAAGAAACACAAAUAUGCAUGAAUUAACAAAUUAAUACUUUGCAUUAGACAGUAGUGAGCUUAAGUACUGAGCUUACAUAGCAAUAAAUCUCUUCAAAUUUCAAGAGGAAAGUAGAGACAUCAAAAAACCUAAAUGAGACCAAAUGAAAUUGCUUUUCAGAGGCAUGGUAAGCUAAGGUGGUUGAACUAGAAUUAUAUUUGUGUUUUUGUAGUGUCCAUAAAAAGCAAUUGACAAACAGAAAUAUUAUCUUCGUGACAAGUGUAGUGAAAAACAAAUCUAACCUUUCAGUUACAAUCCAAAAUAAAGAAAGCAAAUCUCUGUGAAUUACAAUAGUUAUCAAUAUUUUGCCCUGUCUUCUGGAUUCCACUGGCUUUUCCUUUGAAAUUGGCCUUGGUUGUUGAGAACAUUUUAUGUACUGGAAAUGUUACCUAAAGAAUGUAAAGAAAAUAAAUGGAUGUCUGAGAAGUUGUCGCUUCCUCCCAUCUAUUUUUUUUUUUUUUUGAUGAUUUAUGGAAUGUCUGUGACUCGAUGUUUGUUAAAUAAUAAACAAAACAGAAAAAUCAAAAGAUCAAAAAACUAAAUACAUUGCAAUUUUUUCAUAAUGUUAGGAUAUGGGAAUUGCACUGUGUGGAUUGUCAUUUUUUUAGCUCAAAAUUGUUUGCUUUUUUAAUUAGCUAAAGUGGGGUUGAAAAAACAAUAGCCACACCUGCAGCCAAGAUGAUUUUUAAUUUUGCAUCCUCUUUUGAAAAUGCACCAUAAAAGAGCAGCACAUGAAAUUCAUGGGCUGAGAUCUUCUACAUUGCCUUAUUCUUCACUUUUUAGUCCAGAGACAUUAAGAGAUAUUAUCCUACUUAAGGAUUUAAGCAAAGAAACGAAAACCCAGAUGUUACCAAAAUAUUUUAUAAUUAAAAGAGAAUUUACCAUUAUUUUCAAAUAGCAACAGACAGGACAUUGGGCAAUUGCAGGAAUGAAUAAUACACGUAUUUAAUUUUGCUAUUAUCAGUUUAAUUAGAAGUCUUUAAAAACUAUAUGUACCUACACAGGAGUUGCCAAAAACCC